rnacentral:tRNA from 1 species
GGAGGCGUCGCCUAGUCUGGUCUAUGGCGCGGGAUUGCUAAUCCCGUUGGGGGCGCAAGCUCCCUCGAGCGUUCGAAUCGCUCCGCCUCCG